ACGCCGCGUGAGUGAAGAAGGUUUUCGGAUCGUAAAACUCUGUUGUAAGGGAAGAACACGUACGAGAGUAACUGCUCGUACCUUGACGGUACCUUAUUAGAAAGCCACGGCUAACUACGUGCCAGCAGCCGCGGUAAUACGUAGGUGGCAAGCGUUGUCCGGAAUUAUUGGGCGUAAAGCGCGCGCAGGCGGUUCUUUAAGUCUGAUGUGAAAGCCCACGGCUCAACCGUGGAGGGUCAUUGGAAACUGGAGAACUUGAGUACAGAAGAGGAAAGCGGAAUUCCACGUGUAGCGGUGAAAUGCGUAGAGAUGUGGAGGAACACCAGUGGCGAAGGCGGCUUUCUGGUCUGUAACUGACGCUGAGGCGCGAAAGCGUGGGGAGCAAACAGGAUUAGAUACCCUGGUAGUCCACGCCGUAAACGAUGAGUGCUAAGUGUUAGGGGGUUUCCGCCCCUUAGUGCUGCAGCUAA
rnacentral:rRNA from 1 species